UAUACUAUACCAGCUUGGUGCGCAUGUGUAAUCCAAAAGAUGAAAUAAAGGACACGAGGAAGACUAUCGGCUUUCUUCAAGACGACCCCCAAAGAGUGGUGCGACCACCUACAAGAAUGGUGGAGCAUGCGUGAUGAAGGUGAUGAUGAGGAUGGAGAUACAAGUGUGACGAAUCGAAAAUGUGAAGUGCAUGGUUAAAAUUCCCCAUGGAAUGGACUCACCUACUGCUCUUGGUCUUGGUAAACAAAUGGUCCGUUGGCAAUACUGCUUCUAGCUGUCACCUUCGGACCAUGCCUGCUGAACAAGCUAGUCUCAUUCGUCCGGAACCGCUUGGAACGGACCAACAUCCUGCUCAUAGGCAGACAACCGAUGCUGUGAAUUCAACAGGGAAAACUGCCGGUCGCAAGAAUUCCCAAAAAAGUUGCCUGGCAAAAACUUACUCAGGUUUCCCAAAUCCUCUUUCCUUGUCAAGAGACAACCUUAUAUACCUCAUAUCAGUGCAUAUAUAUAUAUAUAUGACUACCUCAUCCAUUUUUGGGGGGGGAGGAAGAUGUGGCAGUAUAGGGACAGGCGAAGCGGAAGAUCUCGGGCUGUCACGGAAAUGCAGCAGGGCCCCUCUCCCCUGACUCCCAGAGAUAAGGGAUCACCCUCGGUAAGAGGUCAAAAAUGUAACCCCCUCCUAACAUGGCCUCUUCCCGUUCCCCUUAC